rnacentral:rRNA from 1 species
GACGAACGCUGGCGGCGUGCCUAAUACAUGCAAGUAGAACGCAGUUGCGAACGGGUGAGUAACGCGUAGGUAACUGCCUGGUAGCGGGGGGUGACUAUUGGAAACGAUAGCUAAUACCGCAUACUACCAGAUGGACCUGCGUUGUAUUAGCUAGUUGGGGGGGUAACGGCCCACCAAGGCAACGAUACAUAGCCUACCUGGGUGGGUGGUCGGCCACAACGGGACUGGGAAACGGGCCAGACCCCUACGGGAGGGAGCAGUAGGGGAUCUUCGGCAAAGGACGGAAGUCUGACCGAGCAACGCCGCGUGAGUGAAGAAGGUUUUCGGAUCGUAAAGCUCUGUUGUAAGGGAAGCGGUAUCUUACCAGAAAGGGACGGCUAACUACGUGCCAGCAGCCGCGGUAAUAC